GAUGAAGAACGUAGCGAAGUGCGAUAAGUAGUGUGAAUUGCAGAAUUUCGUGAAUCAUCGAAUCUUUGAACGCAAAUUGCACUCUCCGGUUUUCCGGGAGAGUAUGCCUGUUUGAGGGUCAGCCUAAAUAAAUUCGGCUUCGUUGCUGUGUUUCACGCACGGUAACGUUUUAGUCGGAAUUUGGGUCAUCUUAAACCGAAAGGUUUUUAAGCGACUUAAAAUUUUUUUUACGAUCCCACGAACGUUUCUAAGAUCUUCUUACACGUUCAGGUAUCGAACAACCCUAUUAGACGUGGCCGUCGUAUCGGAUCGCGUCCAUAAUAUUUAUUCUUUAACUGACCUCAGACAGGUAAGAGUACCCGCUGAACUUAAGCAUAUCAAUAAGCGGAGGA
rnacentral:misc_RNA from 1 species